GGUCAGUGAUGAUAAGAAAAAGUACUGAUUGCACUACUGAAUUGCACACCCGUUUCUCAGCUCCCAGCAGUGUGUUUCUUUCCCCCCCCCCUCAUAUUCCAGUAACAUUAUGAGGUAUUAUGAAGCUGCUGAUAUUACAUGGAUGAAAUUGGUACAUUUUGCCCACGGUAUUGGGGGGAUUUACAUCAGCUGUCAUCCAACAAAGCUAAUCCAGGAGCUGUCAAUUUUGGGUUGGCUUAAUGUGCAUGAUCUUAAGUUUUCAAGCUGAGACC